UACGAAGGGGGCUAGCGUUGCUCGGAAUUGCUGGGCGUAAAGCGCACGUAGGCGGCUUUCUAAGUCGGGGGUGAAAUCCUGGAGCUCAACUCCAGAACUGCCUUCGAUACUGGAGAGCUCGAGUCCGGGAGAGGUGAGUGGAACUGCGAGUGUAGAGGUGAAAUUCGUAGAUAUUCGCAAGAACACCAGUGGCGAAGGCGGCUCACUGGCCCGGUACUGACGCUGAGGUGCGAAAGCGUGGGGAGCAAACAGG
rnacentral:rRNA from 1 species